rnacentral:rRNA from 1 species
AUACAUGCAGUCGAGCGGACAGAUGGGAGCUUGCUCCCUGAUGUUAGCGGCGGACGGGUGAGUAACACGUGGGUAACCUGCCUGUAAGACUGGGAUAACUCCGGGAAACCGGGGCUAAUACCGGAUGGUUGUUUGAACCGCAUGGUUCAAACAUAAAAGGUGGCUUCGGCUACCACUUACAGAUGGACCCGCGGCGCAUUAGCUAGUUGGUGAGGUAACGGCUCACCAAGGCAACGAUGCGUAGCCGACCUGAGAGGGUGAUCGGCCACACUGGGACUGAGACACGGCCCAGACUCCUACGGGAGGCAGCAGUAGGGAAUCUUCCGCAAUGGACGAAAGUCUGACGGAGCAACGCCGCGUGAGUGAUGAAGGUUUUCGGAUCGUAAAGCUCUGUUGUUAGGGAAGAACAAGUACCGUUCGAAUAGGGCGGUACCUUGACGGUACCUAACCAGAAAGCCACGGCUAACUACGUGCCAGCAGCCGCGGUAAUACGUAGGUGGCAAGCGUUGUCCGGAAUUAUUGGGCGUAAAGGGCUCGCAGGCGGUUUCUUAAGUCUGAUGUGAAA